UGACCUGUCAUCCUCAAGUCAAGAAUAUUAUAAAAAAAAAAUAAUUAGUAGUGUCUGAUAUACUCCCCUGCAACUUGAUUAAGGAUUACUUGAUUGGUUGUCAGGGGAGCUAUUUUAAAUACAAGUUCGGCAGUGUCAAGUGUGUGCAUGGCUUCUUGCAAUAAUACAGUUGUGAGCUUCAUCCAGACUAGCUUGCAUUAAAAGCAUUAUCUCAUUCGGUACUCUACUACAUGGCGCAACUUGACCCUUUCGAUGUGCCAAAUGUUGUUUGAGACGGGUAAUUCCACCAGUCACUAGUCUAUCACAAUGCUUGCACUUCAUUUGGUGCCUAGUACCACCAACCCUCUCACAAUGUUGCCAUCCAAUAUCAUCACUUACUUGUUGUUGGCCAGACCCAGACAUUUCUUUAGGUUUAGGUAGAUACUAGAUAAUUAGAUAUGAGUAUGAGUGUAUGACCUAUGUUAAUAAAGAUAAUUUUAUAUUCUAACUAAACCCUAAGAAGCUCCAAGGCAAAACUUGUCCAAUAUAAGCAAAUAAAAACAUAAAGUCACUAAUUCGAAAAUAGAAAAAAAAUUAUAAAAUGACACCCCAAAUCUGUAAAAUACACAUUAACAUGUUCUACUAUGAUUAACACAUCAUAUGGCAUGAUUAAAACAGUAAAACAAUCGUUAAAAAAUUAUUUUUCGAAUUAAAAAAAAAAAGCCAUAAUUAAUGCGUAAAUAGAAAAAAAUAUUAAAAAAUUAUAAAAUGGCACCCCAAAUCUGUAAAAUGCACAUUAACAUGUUCUACUAUGAUUAACGCAUCAUAUGGCAUGAUUAAAACAGCAAAACAACCAUUAAAAAUUGAUUUUUCGAAUUUAAAAAAAUGGCCAAAAUUCAUGCGUAAAUAGAAAAAAAUAUAAAA